rnacentral:misc_RNA from 1 species
GCCUGGUACAAAAAACAUUGCAGAAAAAAAGAAACCAAAUUUAGCAAAACAUCCAUCCACCUGCAGAAGAUAACUCACACUAGGAACAGCAUAGACAACAUUUCAUACAAUGAUAAAAUUAUUCUGUAUCCAGAAGGAAUGGCUCAAGCAUCCCCAUGGCCAAUCAAGGCAAGUAGCAUUUUCUCAUAGUCUCCAGAAGUGUCUCCAGAAAUGGCACGAUCCAGAGGAACGCUGUUUCGGCGAUGGUAUUCCUCUUUAAUACGUUGCAUAUCCACCUCUGCCCUGGUGGUAACAACUCUAGUAAGAGCCCAUUCGUCCGUCCCCAGCUUGUUGAUGGCCAGACGCAGAACAUUCUCAAAGUAUUUCUCAGGACAGGUCAAACACUUGAUUGUUGCUCUCAGUAAUUUGAGGAACUCGUCUUUAGGGUCAACCUUCAAAUUCUUGUUGAUGGCAUUCCCAAAUG